UCCGUAGGCGGGUAAUUAAGUCAGAGGUGAAAUCCCACAGCUUAACUGUGGAACUGCCUUAGAUACUGGUUAUCUUGAGUUUUAGUGAAGUAGAUAUAAUGUGUAGUGUAGCGGUGAAAUGCAUAGAUAUUACACAGAAUACCGAUUGCGAAGGCAGUCUACUAACUAACAACUGACGCUAAUGGACGAAAGCGUGGGGAGCGAACAGGAUUAGAUACCCUGGUAGUCC
rnacentral:rRNA from 1 species